GUGCUUGCUUUGGCAGCACAUAUACUAAAUUGGAACAAUGCAGAGAAGAUUAACAUGGCCCCUACACAAGGAUGACACGCAAAUUUGUGAAGCAUUCCAUAUUUUU
rnacentral:snRNA from 1 species